GAUGUUAACUGCUGUCCGCUAGCAGAUGGAAGGACUCUAUUACCAUGGUGAUGGAAAUAUCAUAAAAAAUAGAGACAAAUAACGUAGAAAUCAGGGUCCUUUUUAUACUCUGAAGCUCCUAAAGAACCUUAUCCUUCAUUGUUGCAGAUAAUGUUCAGAAUGUCCUAAGAAAACUCACUGUGCUAUUUACUCACCAAAACAGCACACCUGGUCUGCCGCUAUGCACAGACGUGACAGGGAUCACAUGCUAGGAACUCCCACCCACCCACAACCAGAACCACUCUCAUUUCUGUUUUCUUGAAAUAAAACCCUCUUCC